GAUGAACGCUGGCGGCGUGCCUAAUACAUGCAAGUCGAGCGAAUGGAUUAAGAGCUUGCUCUUAUGAAGUUAGCGGCGGACGGGUGAGUAACACGUGGGUAACCUGCCCAUAAGACUGGGAUAACUCCGGGAAACCGGGGCUAAUACCGGAUAACAUUUUGAACCGCAUGGUUCGAAAUUGAAAGGCGGCUUCGGCUGUCACUUAUGGAUGGACCCGCGUCGCAUUAGCUAGUUGGUGAGGUAACGGCUCACCAAGGCAACGAUGCGUAGCCGACCUGGAAGGGGGAUCGGCCAAACUGGGACUGGGACACGGCCCAGAAUCCUACGGGAGGCAGCAGUAGGGAAGCUUCCGCAAUGGACGAAAGUCUGACGGAGCAACGCCGCGUGAGUGAUGAAGGCUUUCGGGUCGUAAAACUCUGUUGUUAGGGAAGAACAAGUGCUAGUUGAAUAAGCUGACACCUUGACGGUACCUAACCAGAAAGCCACGGCUAACUGCGUGCCAGCCGCCGCGGUAA
rnacentral:rRNA from 1 species